AGAGUUUGAUCCUGGCUCAGAACGAACGCUGGCGGCGUGCCUAACACAUGCAAGUCGAACGGAAUUUGAGAGCUUGCUCUUAAAUUUAGUGGCGCACGGGUGAGUAACGCGUAGAUAAUCUGCCUGAUGAUCUGGGAUAACACUUCGAAAGAGGUGCUAAUACCGGAUAAGCCCACGGGGUCUUCGGAUUCUGCGGGAAAAGGGGGGGACCUUCGGGCCUUCUGUCAUCAGAUGAGUCUGCGUACCAUUAGCUAGUUGGUAGGGUAAUGGCCUACCAAGGCUACGAUGGUUAGCUGGUCUGAGAGGAUGAUCAGCCACACUGGAACUGGAACACGGUCCAGACUCCUACGGGAGGCAGCAGUGAGGAAUUUUGCGCAAUGGGGGAAACCCUGACGCAGCAACGCCGCGUGAGUGAUGAAGGCUUUCGGGUCGUAAAGCUCUGUCAAGUGGGAAGAAGUUGUGUAUGGCUAAUAUCUGUGCACAUUGACGGUACCACUGAAGGAAGCACCGGCUAACUCCGUGCCAGCAGCCGCGGUAAUACGGAGGGUGCAAGCGUUAUUCGGAUUUACUGGGCGUAAAGGGCGCGUAGGCGGCUUGAUAAGUCAGUCGUGAAAGCCCGGGGCUCAACCCCGGAAGUGCGAUUGAAACUAUCAGGCUUGAGUAUGGUAGAGGGAAGUGGAAUUCCAGGUGUAGCGGUGAAAUGCGUAGAUAUCUGGAGGAACACCGGUGGCGAAGGCGACUUCCUGGACCAAUACUGACGCUGAUGCGCGAAGGUGUGGGUAGCAAACAGGAUUAGAUACCCUGGUAGUCC
rnacentral:rRNA from 1 species